rnacentral:rRNA from 1 species
GAUCAUGGCUCAGGAUGAACGCUGGCGGCGUGCCUAACACAUGCAAGUCGAGCGAGAAACUUAUGACGGAAGCUUCGGUUGAAGUCAUGGGUGGAAAGCGGCGGACGGGUGAGUAACGCGUAGGCAACCUGCCCUUUGCAGAGGGAUAGCCUCGGGAAACCGGGAUUAAAACCUCAUGAUGCCGUGUGAAGACAUCUUCAUAUGGUCAAAGAUUUAUCGGCAAAGGAUGGGCCUGCGU